rnacentral:rRNA from 1 species
AGAUUGAACGCUGGCGGCAGGCCUAACACAUGCAAGUCGAGCGGCAGCACGGGUACUUGUACCUGGUGGCGAGCGGCGGACGGGUGAGUAAUGCCUAGGAAUCUGCCUGGUAGUGGGGGAUAACGCUCGGAAACGGCGCUAAUACCGCAUACGUCCUACGGGAGAAAGCAGGGGACCUUCGGGCCUUGCGCUAUCAGAUGAGCCUAGGUCGAUUAGCUAGUUGGUGA